GCUGAGAAUGGUAGUACACUCUUGCAAUCCCAGCUACUCGGGAGUUAAAGCAGAAGAACAGCUUGAGCCCAGGAGUUCCAGACCAGCCUGGGCAACAUAGCAAUAUACUAUCU
rnacentral:sRNA from 1 species